AGACCCGAAACCCGGUGAUCUAGCCAUGGGCAGGUUGAAGGUUGGGUAACACUAACUGGAGGACCGAACCGACUAAUGUUGAAAAAUUAGCGGAUGACCUGUGGCUGGGGGUGAAAGGCCAAUCAAACCGGGAGAUAGCUGGUUCUCCCCGAAAGCUAUUUAGGUAGCGCCUCGUGAAUUCAUCUCCGGGGGUAGAGCACUGUUUCGGCUAGGGGGCCAUCCCGGCUUACCAACCCGAUGCAAACUGCGAAUACCGGAGAAUGUUAUCACGGGAGACACACGGCGGGUGCUAACGUCCGUCGUGAAGAGGGAAACAACCCAGACCGCCAGCUAAGGUCCCAAAGUCAUGGUUAAGUGGGAAACGAUGUGGGAAGGCCCAGACAGCCAGGAUGUUGGCUUAGAAGCAGCCAUCAUUUAAAGAAAGCGUAAUAGCUCACUGGUCGAGUCGGCCUGCGCGGAAGAUGUAACGGGGCUAAACCAUGCACCGAAGCUGCGGCAGCGAACGUAUCACUUAAAGCGAUUCAGCGGGUUACGAUUGACGGAGCGAAGCGACGUCAAAGCGUAUACAAAGUCGAGUCGGUUUAAGGAUACGUUCGUUGGGUAGGGGAGCGUUCUGUAAGCCUGCGAAGGUGGCCUGUGAGGGUUGCUGGAGGUAUCAGAAGUGCGAAUGCUGACAUAAGUAACGAUAAAGCGGGUGAAAAGCCCGCUCGCCGGAAGACCAAGGGUUC
rnacentral:rRNA from 1 species